AAGGAUUCAAAUAUACUACUUUGUUGAUGCAACAUGAUCAAACCAUCUUAUUUGGACUUGCAAAACAAUAUGAAUAAACAAUGAGCUGCACAAAUUAUCCUCUAUUACGCAUUUCCAAUUGAUUCCUUGCUAUUUUCCAAUAAAAAUGCUCUUUAAGUCUAUCACUUGCUAACGACCAAAAAGAGACUCCAUUAGCUGCUAACAUGACACCAGCAACCGCGGAAAUUUUGCAGUAUUGAAGAUAUUAACAUUGGACAAAGUCAAUAUCUAUCGAAAGAUUCAAUUUGUGAUAAAUUAUCUUCUCCCCAUUUCAAAUGAUACUUCUGGAUAAUCACUAUAAAU